UACCUCGAUGGUGGAAGCAAGAGCAAUGGCAGUAGGCGGCGGCGGCGUGAGCCAGAUGCAGCCGUCGUCUUCGCUCCACCACUCGGCUACCGCCUGAGGCAGCAGCUCCACUUCCGCCGGCAGGCAUUGGGUGGAUGGGGAGAAAAGGCCGGCGCAGCGAGGAGGUGCCGGGGCAGCGCCGGGCAGAGGAGGCGGAGGUGGAGGCGUUGGGUGGUCGCGGAGGCGGCGCCCGUGCGGGCCGGCGCUCGCAGUGUGGUUGUGGUCUCGAGCAAGACGAAGACGGCGGUGGUCGCGGUGGCGAUUCGUUCGGCGGAGAUGGAGGCCGGAGGUGCUGACAGUCGUGGUGGCGAAGUGGCAGUGGCGCGGGGGUGGUGCUCGCGCGGGAGAUGUGGCCGCGCGUGGUGGCAGCGGCCGAGCGUGACGACGGCUUGGCGCGGCGGCGGAGAGGGGAAAGUGCAUAAAUUAUCGAGCCUCAUCUUCCGCUAA
rnacentral:lncRNA from 1 species